rnacentral:rRNA from 1 species
GAUGAACGCUGGCGGCGUGCCUAAUACAUGCAAGUCGAGCGAACAGACGAGGGGCUUGCUCCUCUGACGUUAGCGGCGGACGGGUGAGUAACACGUGGAUAACCUACCUAUAAGACUGGGAUAACUUCGGGAAACCGGAGCUAAUACCGGAUAAUAUAUUGAACCGCAUGGUUCAAUAGUGAAAGACGGUUUUGCUGUCACUUAUAGAUGGAUCCGCGCCGCAUUAGCUAGUUGGUAAGGUAACGGCUUACCAAGGCGACGACGCGUAGCCGACCUGAGAGGGUGAUCGGCCACACUGGAACUGAGACACGGUCCAGACUCCUACGGGAGGCAGCAGUAGGGAAUCUUCCGCAAUGGGCGAAAGCCUGACGGAGCAACGCCGCGUGAGUGAUGAAGGUCUUCGGAUCGUAAAACUCUGUCAUUAGGGAAGAACAAAUGUGUAAGUAACUAUGCACGUCUUGACGGUACCUAAUCAGAAAGCCACGGCUAACUACGUG